CAGUGAGGAAGGGGGUGUGUUUGGUGUCAGAAGUGGGAUUCGACCAAGUGAGGAGGUCAAAUUGACGAGAGGAAAGAAGAGGGACCAAAGAGAGGAACCGCGGCUGGGGGUGGCUAUGCCUGGAACUGACCAGGGGGCCACGGCUGCUGAAGCAGCAGGAGACGAGAGACAAGCAGCAGGAGACGAGAGACAAGCAGGAGGAGACGAGAGACAAGCAGCAGGAGACGAGAGACAAGCAGCAGGAGACGAGAGACAAGCAGCAGGAGACGAGAGACA